UUUUUUUGCACAAAAUGAUUGAAGUGCUUAUUUGCGGAGGCAGCUUGUUAACCUUGAGCAGUUGGGAGGGAACUGACAGUGGCUGAACACUUGGGAACCUCUACAUUGUUCAUCCUUUUUGGUAUGAGUGGUUUUGUCCUAUCAAAAGAUGGUGGCUAUAGGGCUUUUGAAUAUCCCCUAUGAUGCAAGGAUUUGAUAGAAUGGCAUGGUAAAUAAUGAGUUCCUUGGGAUGAGAUGGAGACUUGUAAGUUUUAAAAUAAUCUAUUUGGUGAGGGCAACUCCUUGGAGAAAGAGCUUAAAACAACCACAACAAAAAAUGUUGUAUACCAAGACAAAACAAACAUUUUAUUCUCGGCAAAUACUUAUUUUUCCAAAGGAGAAUAAAGAUGUUGCCUCCCAGAUGGAGUAAUACCAUGUUUAGCUUGACUAGUGUUAAUCAAAUCAAUAUUCAAUACUCCACCAAAAAAGGUCAGCCCGGGUUAUUCUUUAAAUAGCAGGAAGGCAACCAAGACGAAGGCAACCAAAGCAGUCAACCACCGUCUCUCUGCGUCACUCAUCAUUCGGUCGGGUUUUCCACUUUCGAGAGUCUCUCGGUUUCUUCGAUAGCAACCACCACACAUCAAUGCCUCGUCUUCCGUUAGAUGAUUUUUCUCUUUGUUCCUCGUUCCGGCGACAUUGUGCGGAUGAAAGUAUCACAGCAUCAGUUCAAUGCUCAUGAGAGUGAUUGGGGUUUCACUAAUUUCAUGUCUCCACUUGCUGACUUAUAUGAUCCUGCUAGAAGUUUUUUGGUGAGUGAUAGAAAUAUAAUUGAGGCUGAUGUUGAUUUUCCAAAGCAAAAUGGGAUCUUUCUUUCUUAAUUUUAAUUUAUAGCAAGAAAUGCGAUGGACGGCAACAACACAUGUACGGACCAAGUGAUUGCAGAAAUGAUUGAAAUGGGUUUUGACUUUUGAGUAUUCAAAUAUUGCCGAAGCCAUAAAAGAAGUGGGUCUCUCUUCCUAGUGUUGUGGAGCACAUCCUCAACACCUUCAAAUUGCAAGAACACAAUAAGAACCCUCUCAGAAGACAACCUUUGCGCACGUGUUGUUUAGUUCGGCAGUCCAAGAUAUUCGACCAUUUCCACUCCAAUAAUGUCCAAGAACACACGGAGGAUUUCCCUGAUCCCAUUCCAUUUGUGCUUUCAGAGCCAUUUCAAGUUCAAAGAUUCGGAUGUUGCAUCAUUCCAUUUGUGCAAAAGCAUUUUGGGUUUUCAUCCUUGAAGAGUUUUCAGAAGGAAGCCCUCUCUUCCUGGGUUGGUCAUAAAGUAUAAUUUCUGGAUAAGCAUUUUGCUUCACACUUUGAGCUUCAUGCUUUGCAAAUACAUGUUUUGGAAUUUUCUCCAGAUCGGAAAAUGAUGAGUGCUCUUUGCAGCUGGAAUCGGAUGCAGGUUUUUUCCUCAAAGGGUUCCCCAUAAAGUAUAAUUUCUAGAUAUAUAACCAUUCUGUGCAAUGAUGAUGGUUCCAUUGUGCCACUUACAACUGAUAUUUGAGCAGAGCUGGACUCAAGGUUCCAAAAUCCAAAGUGAAGCAAUAUGAUACCUUUGAGAUUGUCGUGGUCAAGAUCAGAAGACUUCGUGUAUUGCUAUUUGUUAAGGAUUUUCCUAAUUUCCUCUGGUUCAGGGCCAUCUUACAAUCACUUUGUGUCUGAUUCAAGUUGCAUUUGGGAAUUUAUUUUUAUGAUUGCUACACAUGAAUAACUGAGUUAUUUUGAUUGACUCCAACUACUUAUUAGGUUUUUAAACUACUGAAAACUUUGCUAUUUUAUGAUGUUUAAGCAUUCUCUCACAUGUUGCAGGAGAGAUGUACAGCCCCUGGCCAUUUGCUGCCCUUGCCAACCAUACAGCUGCCCUUUUCUCAAGUGCAAUUUGUUUACCCUUAUUCUGAAAACAAUAAAUUAAAACAUCAAUAUUAGAUUUAAGUAAAUAAUUUUAACCAAUCACAUAUGGUUUAUGAAAAUUAACUCCUUAUGUAUAAAUAAUCUUAAACAUGACCUUCGAGAUUGUUGCCAUCAAUAAAAAAUUAUUAUUCAUUUUUUAUUUUUAUUUUUGUUGCAGUGAAGCAGUAUGAUACUUGUGAAAUUGUCACGGUCAAGAUGGCAAGACUGUGUAUUGAGAUUUGUUAAGAAUUUUCCUAAUUUCCUUUGGUUCAGUGCUUUCUUACAAACAGUCUUUGAUUGUGUCUGAUUCAAGAUGCAUAAGCGAAUUUAUUGAGUAUUAUGCAUGAAUAACUGCAAUAUUUUGAUUGACUUCAACUACUUAUUAGGUUUUUAAACUACAGAAAUUAAACUGUGCUAUUUUAUGAUGCUUACUCGUUUUCUCACAUGUUGCAGGAGCGAAGUAUGCAUUUUGCAAUUCUUGUAUUUUUUUUUUUUGUUUAUUGUUAUAUGUAGGUGGAGGGUCCCAGGAGAUCGGUGAAUUUUAAGAUUUUGGCUUUGGAAUUUCAAUCAUGGACACAUUUUUUAGGCAUGUAUAGACAAUCACUAGAAGCAGCGUCAAUUAAGUUAUCUAGAUUCACUUUCUUAUUUUCAAAAGGCAUAUUGGUUUUUUUUCCAUACUUUCUUCAACUGAACUUGUACUUGGGGAUAUUAUGGAAGUUUCUGGUAAGCUGAUUAUGCAGUGCUUUAAAGCAAACUAGUUCUGUUGAUUAUUUAAUCCUGGAAAGCUGAAAGUUAACUCUGUUCUGGUUGUUCACUAAAAAGUUUGGUGCGAAAUUCCUACUGAUGUGAGCAUGAUUGAGAUGCUAAGCAAUCAAGUUUGUGUUGAUCUAUAGCUAUUCUUACAGGUACUCCUGUUGCACAUCCUUUGUACAGUGAAUUGAAUUAUUGAAUGUUUCCACUUGGAAAUCACUUCACUUGUGUGAUUGUGACCGAAAAGUGUGAAGACGCACUACAUAUGCUCACAUGUUGGCAAUUUAGGUUAUAACAGGGAUUUGUGUGUUGGUGCGGAUUGUAAAUAUUGGUCACUUUCAGGACCCAUCUCAAGGUGGUUUCUUGCAUUGUGCAAUUUAUUAUUUUAAGUUAAUGCACUUAUAUUAGGGAUGCUUUGAUUAGGGAGAACAUCCACAUUGGUCUAUGCUUUGGAAGCCUUGCGGACUAGAGGGACAUCCAUUUUGCCAUUCAGCUAUGCAAAUUCUGCUUUGGAAAUUUAGUUAUCAAAUUAAAAGCACAGAAUCACUGAACCAGCUCAAUGCUCGUGAGAUGAUUGGGGUUUCACAAAUUUCAUGCCUCUUGUUGACUUAUGAUCCUGCUAGAGGCUUUCGGGUGGUGUUGUUGUAUGUAAGCCUCUUGAUUACUGGUCACAUGACUCAAAAAAGGAAAUUGGUUGUAUUGGAUGAAUUCUCUUCUUCACUUAUGAUCCUGCUAGAGGUUUUCGGGUGGUGUUGUUGCAUGUAAGCCUCUUGAUUACUGGUCACACGACUCAAAAAAGGAAAUUGGUUGUAUUGGAUGAAUUCUCUUCUUCAGAUAUUGUGUCACAUUCCUUAUUUUAGAAAGGUUAGCCAAUUUUUAAUGUUCAAGCCUUUGUUUCUAUAAAGUUACAAUGUUUUUUUAGGGUAAAUUGCCAACAAUGAUGUUGUUACAUUUUUUAGAUAUAUUUGUUUCCAUACAUAUGUCUAGAAGAGUUUUGCAUA